rnacentral:rRNA from 1 species
UACGUAGGGUGCAAGCGUUGUCCGGAAUUAUUGGGCGUAAAGAGCUCGUAGGCGGUUUGUCGCGUCUGCUGUGAAAACUCGGGGCUUAACCCCGGGCCUGCAGUGGGUACGGGCAGACUAGAGUGCGGUAGGGGAGACUGGAAUCCCUGGUGUAGCGGUGAAAUGCGCAGAUAUCAGGAGGAACACCGGUGGCGAAGGCGGGUCUCUGGGCCGUAACUGACGCUGAGGAGCGAAAGCGUGGGGAGCGAACAGG